GGUACAGAGGGCAGCUACCCAGCAAUGGGAUGCGAAUCUCGAAAGCCUGUCUCAGUUCGGAUUGGAGGCUGAAACCCGCCUCCAUGAAGUUGGAUUCGCUAGUAAUCGCGCAUCAGCCAUGGCGCGGUGAAUACGUUCCCGGGCCUUGUACACACCGCCCGUCAAGCCAUGGGAGCCGGGGGUGCCUGAAGUUCGUGACCGCAAGGAUCGCCCUAGGGUAAAACUGGUGACUGGGGCUAAGUCGUAACAAGGUACC
rnacentral:rRNA from 1 species